UCCUGUGCAUUAGAUGCUCCAUCAAUGUGCAGCAUCCAUAUUGACAUUGAGUCAGAUUUGGAGAUCGUGGCCUAUUUUAUUUGUCAUUAGCUUCAUCCUCAAGAUUAUUAUCACGUAUUGCACACUCGAUGAUGAAGUCAGCUAAAACUUACGCCUUUAUUGAUGGACGUGGGCGAUAUUGUAUAUCAAAUUCAUCAAGCUUUAUUGCCCACUUUGCCGUUCGACCUGAUGUAUCAGGUCGAUGUAAGAUUGUCUUCUACGGCUGAUCUGUUAAGACAACAAUAGGAUGUGCUUGAAAGUAUGGAUGAAGUCGCUGCGAUGAUAUGAUCAAGCCUAGAUCAUCUUCUCUGCUCUUGAAUAUCUUACUUCAGUAUUAUGAAGCACCUUGCUA
rnacentral:lncRNA from 1 species